rnacentral:snRNA from 1 species
GCAGAAAAACUGAGUGCCCAAAGUGCGAGAGGGCUCCUGAAGCUGCGUGCUUGGUUGAAGAGAAUGACCAUCCCGAUAGAGGACCAGUCUUUGGUCAAGGGUAUAUGAAUAGCUGCACUCCCCUCCUAGAACCUCCAAACGAGCUCUCAAGGUCCAAAGUGUGAGAGGGUGGCCGGAAGAGGUGGCUCACACCUGUAAUCCCAGAAUUAAUGGAGGCCAAGGUGGGCGGAUCACUUAA